rnacentral:ncRNA from 2 species
CUCAAUGUAACACAUAUACCUCGUAUAUCUUCGGGAAUCGGCCCGAACGUUUCUACCCGGCGACCGGAAUCGCCGGACUACGGGAUAGCUUGGUUCGGCC